AUGGCCUCGAUCAAGACUAGCAGCUUGAGGUAGCUGCUGGUUUCAAGGAGAGCCUACAUAAACUCCUUCCUGUGGUCUGUUGAUUUUUCCCAGAGUUACAAAGGGGCUAAUCAUUUCAGUUGGAAGGUACAAAA